rnacentral:rRNA from 1 species
UAUGCCUACGGGACGCAGCAGUGAGGAAUAUUGGUCAAUGGGCGGAAGCCUGAACCAGCCAAGUCGCGUGAGGGAUUAAGGCCCUGCGGGUCGUAAACCUCUUUUGCCGGGGAGCAGAGGUCCGGACGUGUCCGGGCCGGGAGAGUACCCGGAGAAAAAGCAUCGGCUAACUCCGUGCCAGCAGCCGCGGUAAUACGGAGGAUGCGAGCGUUAUCCGGAUUUAUUGGGUUUAAAGGGUGCGCAGGCGGAGGUGCAAGUCAGCGGUCAAAUUGCGGGGCUCAACCCCGUACUGCCGUUGAAACUGC